rnacentral:lncRNA from 1 species
CCGUCUUUGAGUUUCUAUGCUAGGGCACAAGUCUCCCAAGUUCCCCAGAGUCAAAAAGAUCCCUAAAACAGUAAAAAUCUGCAUUUUUAUGAUUCUGGUGCGCGUCGCGCGCCCCAUGCGCAGAAAAACGCGCUCCAAGCGCGCGUUGGCAGAGCCUGAUGCUGAGAAAUGCGCUCCAAGCGCUCAGGACGCGCUCCAGGCGCAUUUCAUCUGCUGUCUGAUGUAUUUUGCAUUUUUCUCAUCUUUUGCUUCUGAAUUUGGUCCCGGUGUCUUCAUGAAAGUUGUAG